rnacentral:rRNA from 1 species
UAAUACAUGCAAGUCGAACGGGGAUAUGGAGAGAUUAUCUUGAAAUAUUCUAGUGGCGAACGGGUGAGUAACGCGUGAGCAACCUGUCCUAAAGUGGGGGAACAACAGUUGGAAACGACUGCUAAUACCGCAUGAGACCACACUGUCGCAUGGCAGAGAGGUCAAAGAUUUAUCGCUUUAGGAGGGGCUCGCGUCCCAUUAGAUAGUUGGUGAGGUAACGGCCCACCAAGUCAACGAUGGGUAGCCGAGCUGAGAGGCUGAUCGGCCACACUGGAACUGAGACACGGUCCAGACUCCUACGGGAGGCAGCAGUAGGGAAUAUUGGGCAAUGGGCGCAAAGCCUGACCCAGCAACGCCGCGUGAGGGAAGAAGGUUUUCGGAUUGUAAACCUCUGUCCUUGGUGACGAAACAAAUGACGGUAGCCAAGGAGGAAGCCCCGGCUAACUACGUGCCAGCCGCCGC